UACGUAGGGGGCAAGCGUUGUCCGGAAUCAUUGGGCGUAAAGAGCGUGUAGGCGGUUCGGUAAGUCGGCUGUGAAAGUCCAGGGCUCAACCCUGGGAUGCCGGUCGAUACUGCCGGACUAGAGUUCGGAAGAGGCGAGUGGAAUUCCCGGUGUAGCGGUGAAAUGCGCAGAUAUCGGGAGGAACACCUAUGGCGAAGGCAGCUCGCUGGGACGUUACUGACGCUGAGACGCGAAAGCCAGGGGAGCGAACGGG
rnacentral:rRNA from 1 species